GAAGGUAUAGCUCAGUGGUAGAGCAUGUGCUUAGCAUGCAUGAAGUCUUGGGUUCAAUCCCCAGGACCUCCG
rnacentral:tRNA from 1 species